AGACAAUAGAUACCCAGGUAGUCCACGCCGUAAACGAUGGAUGCUAGCUGUUAUCAGUAUCGACCCUGGUAGUAGCGAAGCUAACGCGUUAAGCAUCCCGCCUGUGGAGUACGGUCGCAAGACUAAAACAUAAAGGAAUUGACGGGGACCCGCACAAGCGGUGGAGCGUGUUGUUUAAUUCGAUGGUAAGCGAAGAACCUUACCAGGGUUUGACAUCCUAGGAAUUUCUCCGAAAGGAGAGAGUGCCUUCGGGAACCUAGUGACAGGUGUUGCAUGGCCGUCGUCAGCUCGUGUCGUGAGAUGUUUGGUUAAGUCCAUCAACGAGCGCAACCCUUAUAGUUAGUUGGAUUUCUCUAGCUAGACUGCCCCGGCAACGGGGAGGAAGGAGGGGAUGAUGUCAGGUCAGUAUUACCCUUACACCCUGGGCUACAAACACGCUACAAUGGCCGGUACAAAGGGCAGCUAAGUCGCGAGGCGGAGCAAAUCCCAUCAAAGCCGGUCUCAGUUCGGAUUGCAGGCUGAAACUCGCCUGC
rnacentral:rRNA from 1 species